AGUGGGGAGAGCAUAGAAGGUCUGAAGCGUAAAUGCCAAUUAGUGAACUGAGUGAGGGCAGAGCAAGGCAACAUUAAAAGAUUCAUGUGUACUUGGUAUAAACUAUAGCUGAGUAAAGUAAAUAAUGCCAAGUGCCAGAUGGCAUUGGAUUUUUUGUCCGUCUUAAGAAUGGAAGUUGUCCAUUUUAAGUACGAACUAGAAAGCCAUUUUUAAUAUGGUUCAUGGUUCUCUUGAUUAUUGGGCGUCGACCCUUCUUGACACAGGGCGUCGACCCUUCUUGAUACCUGCUUGUGCUUGGUGUGACGACAUGAUGUAUUUAUUGGGAGAGCCUUGUUAUUGAAUCUUUUGGAAAAUGGUGCUAUGAGCAUUCUUGACAUUUGGACCUCUAAAUAUCGAACUUGAUACUCUUGAUAUAUUGUUUACUUGAUUUAUUUAUUAUGUUUGAUUAUGCUGCCCAUGACUUGAGAAAGGUAGUUUGGUGAAUCUGAUGGCUCCGAACCUAUAGUUUUGCACCACUAAGCUAUAUGCUUAGCGAUAGUUGUUUCUAUCAUAGGGAAAGAUCGAGAAGAGGCGUGAAGUGGGCGGGCCAUUGGAGAUGGAGAUUUUGAGACCUUUAAGGAAGAUCACAUUUGCACAUAGGCAUCUAUAUUUUGUAUAAACCUUGGGACUUGUACAAGAUCUAUGUGUUGUAUAUUUACAUGAAAUUUUGAGGACUAAUUUGAUCAUGUCACCAUGGGUUGUAAUAUAAGUAUGGCUAUAUGUUUUGUUCUUUUGGGGUGUGUAAGCCCAAGUCUUGUAAUAUAUUAAAUUUACCACUAAUUUUGAAUGAUUGUGUGAAGCAUGAAUGACCUAGUUGGGUACCCGG
rnacentral:lncRNA from 1 species